UGAACAUUCCAGGCUCUGUGAACUAAGGUAAGUAGGCCUCUCCAUCCUGAUAGCGAGGGAGGCCUCAUCGGGUUUGACCCCGGCAUGCUUUGACACCUUUUUCACUGUUGGAAGAUGCUCUGACUUUAAAGUAGAAAGCAGACUUGACUGAAGCUGAUUGACACAGGUCAAGGGGACUUCAAGGAAGAAAGCCAGCCUUAGACUGACAUCAGAGAACCAAACUCCGGUGUCUAAGCUCAAGUAAUACAAGUAAUUGGGAAGACACUGGCUCAGAGCCUGUCUCUGGUGACCACUGAAUUGUCCAGCACCUGAGGUCCCUGGAGCCCACGGACUGAGCCCAUCUGGGCUAAAAGAGGUCCCAUACAUCCUUCUCAAAGGCCUAUAUAAAUGCCAAGCAGAGUUAUAGCAGGAGGUUAGAAUCCUGAGAACUGUUUGGAAUAAGGAAUCCAAAUAUUGUCUUCCAGCUUCACCUUGUCACGACAGUCCUCGCCAGGGACAGCUGAGACCUCUUCUCUGCCUCCCAGCUCCCAUGGCGCCUCUCUCGAUACGUGGCCUCUUCUGAUACUUACCUCAGCUUGGACACAGCUCUCUGAAGAUCAUCUACAUCUCCAUUUAUGCCGUGUGCACGCAGUACCAACAGAGGUCAGAGGAGGGUGUCGGAUCCCCUGGAACUGGAGUCACAGAUUCUUCCUUGCGUGGAUGAAACAGUCCCAACGAACACUUUAAAAAGACAAAUGUUCCCGACAGCACUGGUUGAAUUCAAAACUCGGCAGAUCCAUGUUCUUAUCCUUAGACAAGAGAGGGGCCAUAACAAGAUGGAAUGACGGAACAGACGUGAGAGAUGAUGGUACAGUGACUCGGGUAACCCCAGAAAAGGGACAGCUCUUCUACAGCUCAGUGGGGACAGGGACAAAAAGAAACAAUUUCAUUUCAGUCCACCCAGAGGGUCUGCACUUCUCGGAGCCAGAAGGUGGAGAAGAGUAGGGAUGGAGGAAGUUCGAAGUUUUAGGAGUCUGCUCUUGGGUCCCUAGGCAUGAGGACAAGCUUUUCCUGUACUCAAUGCUCAUCUCUCAGUUGUGCCCACAUUGGUACACAUUACUUGCUUUCAACUGCUGCUGCUGCUGUUUCCUAAUUCAAUAAAGAUAUGGCUGGCUCAGCAGAGAGCUGUCAUCCA
rnacentral:lncRNA from 1 species